ensembl:piRNA 21ur-12250 ncRNA
UGCUAAAAAGUCCAGGUUUUG